AUUUUCAUGGAUAGGGUUUGGGUGGCCUGAUGAGAGCAGCCCAGUGGUUACACCUCUGCAACCUCGCCAACGUUGACAAUCACUGAGCUGCGUCGACAUAUGAAGACGCGAGAGCUAAAGCAAAUAGACUGCAAGGUUAUCAGGAUACCGGAGAAAUGGGUUAUGCUUUAGUCCUUGUAAAUGGCACUAGUUUUUCUGGUGUGAGUAAAGCCUGACAGUGGUAAUGUGAAGCUGGGACUUCCCUAUCAGGCGUGACCUUGUAGCCAAAUCCAUGAGGAGUCAGAGGCAGUUGCAGCAACUAACCAUGAAGCGACGGCGGAGAUCCAGUUCAUCUCAUAGUUUAGGUCUGACCAGCACAAGGUGGCAACAGCAGUAGUGGAGAAGGCAUGAAGAGGCCCACAUCUGAAAAUCCGUUCUGCUGACCGAUAAAGGGAGAUGGUCUGAGCAUCCAUUGUGACAAUGUUGUCCAGAACAUGGACUCUGGAAACUGAAAAGUAACAGAUUUUGCUUCCAGGCGCACAAAGGCCACCGAUCAGAUCAACGCGAAGAAACCUGUUCGGAUCGCCUCAGCAACGGAUCAACCUCUGCACCUACAUCCAUUUCGACAGGUCAUUAGUCAAAGCAGGUCCAUUUUACCCUCCUUCACGCGGAUGAAUCUGAUCAAGUUUAUUUCAAAUUCCAAUCUAGAGUAGUUACACUUUUUCGCCUCUGCAUGCCUGCUUACAUGUUCUUAACUUAUUGGAUGCAAUAGAUGAAUGGUGUGUUUAAAUACAUUGCUCUUGAUCUAUCAGUCUCCUAGCUCCUAACAGUACUUCAGGCCACCAUUUGUUUAUCCAUGCAUUUUAAAUAUUUACAUGUAUUUGAUUGCAACAUAUGUGCAGCCUGUUGUCUUUUAUGCUCUAGGCAGUUACCGUU